rnacentral:rRNA from 1 species
AUGCAAUAAGUAAUAUAAAUUGCAGAAUCUCGUGAAUCAUUAAAUCUUUGUACGUACAUUGUACCCUAUAGUAUUCUAUAGGGCAUGCCUAUCUCAGUGUUAGCUCCCCUAUACUCAAGUCUCUUAAUUGAAGCUUAGAUCACUUUAAAGAAGUAGCUAAAACACAAUAGGCUACUCUUUAGAAAUUUGUAGGCAGUAUAGGACUUGAAUUAGGUGCAAUAAGAAUAUAAAAGUAUCUCUCUUUAGAAAGGUUGUACUUGCCUCAAUCUACCUAUUUUCUUUUGGAUGAUCUCAGAUCAGAUAGGAAUACCUACUGAACUUGA